CUGAGGUGAUUUUAUACACUUUUGUAUCAUUUUUCUAGCUUAUUUCGCCUUGUUUUGAGAGCAAUUAGUGUGCUUAACGUGUUCAUAUUAAUAUAAAUAAGAAUUUGAGAGUCCAAGUGUGUGAUUACAAUGUCUAGGGUAUUUUUUAAACAAGUUUGUAUUUAAUUGAGUCAUUUAGAGUUCAACCCGGAAAACUAGUUUUACUAGCUUGAGCUAGCUGUGUGUCUAGUUGGUUCCAUUGGAUUCUAAUGUGUUUAAUUUAUUCCAAAUAUUAUAAUGGUCUAAUU
rnacentral:lncRNA from 1 species